GCUUCCGGAGCUAACGCGUUAAAUAGACCGCCUGGGGAGUACGGCCGCAAGGUUAAAACUCAAAUGAAUUGACGGGGGCCCGCACAAGCGGUGGAGCAUGUGGUUUAAUUCGAUGCAACGCGAAGAACCUUACCUGGUCUUGACAUCCACAGAACUUGCCAGAGAUGGUUUGGUGCCUUCGGGAACUGUGAGACAGGUGCUGCAUGGCUGUCGUCAGCUCGUGUUGUGAAAUGUUGGGUUAAGUCCCGCAACGAGCGCAACCCUUAUCCUUUGUUGCCAGCGGUCCGGCCGGGAACUCAAAGGAGACUGCCAGUGAUAAACUGGAGGAAGGUGGGGAUGACGUCAAGUCAUCAUGGCCCUUACGACCAGGGCUACACACGUGCUACAAUGGCGCAUACAAAGAGAAGCGACCUCGCGAGAGCAAGCGGACCUCAUAAAGUGCGUCGUAGUCCGGAUUGGA
rnacentral:rRNA from 1 species